UACGUAGGGUGCGAGCGUUGCCCGGAUUUAUUGGGCGUAAAGGGCGCGUAGGCGGCAUGCCAAGCGUGUGGUGAAAGCCCGGGGCUCAACCCCGGGUCGGCCGUGCGGACUGGCGUGCUCGAGCACUGUAGGGGCGGGUGGAAUUCCGGGUGUAGCGGUGGAAUGCGUAGAGAUCCGGAAGAACACCGGUGGCGAAGGCGGCCCGCUGGGCAGGAAGGCUCGCAGGAGCCGGCUGACGCUGAGGCGCGACAGCGUGGGGAGCGAACCGG
rnacentral:rRNA from 1 species